rnacentral:rRNA from 1 species
GAUGAACGCUGGCGGCGUGCCUAAUACAUGCCAGUCGAGCGAACAGAUGAGGAGCUUGCUCCUCUGACGUUAGCGGCGGACGGGUGAGUAACACGUGGAUAACCUACCUAUAAGACUGGGAUAACUUCGGGAAACCGGAGCUAAUACCGGAUAAUAUAUUGAACCGCAUGGUUCAAUAGUGAAAGACGGUUUUGCUGUCACUUAUAGAUGGAUCCGCGCCGCAUUAGCUAGUUGGUAAGGUAACGGCUUACCAAGGCAACGAUGCGUAGCCGACCUGAGAGGGUGAUCGGCCACACUGGAACUGAGACACGGUCCAGACUCCUACGGGAGGCAGCAGUAGGGAAUCUUCCGCAAUGGGCGAAAGCCUGACGGAGCAACGCCGCGUGAGUGAUGAAGGUCUUCGGAUCGUAAAGCUCUGUUAUUAGGGAAGAACAAAUGUGUAAGUAACUAUGCUCGUCUUGACGGUACCUAAUCAGAAAGCCACGGCUAACUACGUG